rnacentral:rRNA from 1 species
UGGGGAAUAUUGCGCAAUGGGCGAAAGCCUGACGCAGCGACGCCGCGUGAGGGAUGAAGGUUUUCGGAUCGUAAACCUCUGUCAGAAGGGAAGAAACCGCACUGUGCUAAUCAGCAGUGCCUUGACGGUACCUUCAAAGGAAGCACCGGCUAACUCCGUGCCAGCAGCCGCGGUAAUACGGAGGGUGCAAGCGUUAAUCGGAAUUACUGGGCGUAAAGCGCACGUAGGCUGCUUUGUAAGUCAGGGGUGAAAUCCCACGGCUCAACCGUGGAACUGCCUUUGAUACUGCUUAGCUUGAAUCCGGGAGAGGGUGGCGGAAUUCCAGGUGUAGGAGUGAAAUCCGUAGAUAUCUGGAGGAACAUCAGUGGCGAAGGCGGCCACCUGGACCGGUAUUGACGCUGGGGUGCGAAAGCGUGGGGAGCAAACAGG